GGCUGGUGUGGUUGAGGAAUGUCUUGCUCCAGCUGAGGGUUCAUCUUUGGGAAAUGUCCAAGGCUCCCUGGGGGGGUCAGACUUACCUGGGACGAUGUAGGAGCCCUUAAAGGCUUGCCAUGCUGGGACGGAUGAAACCACUGACCUCUCCACCCCUAGUUCUGCAAUGGAUUUAACUUCUGCUCUUUCGUCCUGCUCGUCUACCAUAGACAUAACCACAGAACCCAUGGCCAAUCAUUCUGCCGUACUGAUACCCACUGACUCCAAGCCCUCUGGGAUGGUUAUAGAUCAAGCCACUAACCCCACAGCACAUCAUAGAACAUUCGGUAUGACCCAGGUCACAACUCAGCACUCAGCCAUGGAUGUAAAUGAAGUGACGGUGCCUUGCUCAGCUAUGGAUGUAACAAGCAGCUUCCAAGCUAAAGAUGAAUUAGAGAAGAGAGAGGUCUCUAUGUCCAGAUAUUCUCAUGGGGAAGAUGGACUCUAGCCAAGAAGUCAAGACAACAUGGUGUUCAUACUAGCUACAUGAUGAAAGGCAAGUCAUUUCCUAGCCCCUACAGCCCCACCCCAAUCCUGACUCGGUUUCUCUUGUGGGGGACACUAUAGCUCCCACAUCUGUAACCCGCGGUCUUAAGAGCGUUCCCUUUUGGAGGCACAGGGAUGCUGCGACUUGCCCAUAGUCACAUGUGCUUAGAUCAUAGAUUUGUAGCUGGAGGGGAUAGGGCUGGAUCUUAUUCACAGAUGAGGCAUAAGCAGCGUUGGGCUCUAGGCAUGGCAGAGUGGUCAGACUCCUGCAGGGACUUGGGGUCCCAAAGACCUGGACUCAAAUCGUGGCUGUGCUCCUUAUUAAUUGUAUGGCCUGGGCAAGAGACCCCUUCUCCUCAUAGACGUUCAGUGGCAUCAUCUGUAAAAUGAGGAGAAGGUUGUGAAGUGACUUGUGAAGACCCUUCCUGCUCCAGAUGUGUGAUCCUAGGGCUAGACAGCCUCUCAAGGUCACUUCCCUCCUAGAACGUAUGAAGUGCCUGUAAUUAUCGUUCUCUUUGUGAUCUAUCCCUUCUUG
rnacentral:lncRNA from 1 species